AUACGGAGGAUGCGAGCGUUAUCCGGAUUUAUUGGGUUUAAAGGGUGCGUAGGCUGUGCGUUAAGUCAGGGGUGAAAUGCCGUCGCUCAACGACGGAGCUGCCCUUGAUACUGGCGUGCUGGAGUACGGAUGCCGUUGGAGGAAUGAGUGGUGUAGCGGUGAAAUGCUUGGAUAUCACUCAGAACACCGAUUGCGAAGGCAUCUGACGAAUCCGUCACUGACGCUGAGGCACGAAAGCGUGGGGAUAGAACAGGAUUAGAUACCCUGGUAUUCCACGCCGUAAACGAUGAUGACUAACCGUCGGCGAUAGACAGCCGGUGGCCAAGCGAAAGCGAUAAGCCAUCCACCUGGGGAGUACGUCGGCAACGAUGAAACUCAAAUGAAUUGGCGGGG
rnacentral:rRNA from 1 species